GAUGAAGAACGUAGCGAAAUGCGAUAAGUAAUGUGAAUUGCAGAAUUCAGUGAAUCAUCGAAUCUUUGAACGCACAUUGCGCCCCUUGGUAUUCCGAGGGGCAUGCCUGUUCGAGCGUCAUUAUAACCCCUCAAGCUUAGCUUGGUGUUGGGGCCUGCUGUAAUAGAGCAGCCCUUAAAAUCAGUGGCGGUGCCAUUAGGCUCUAAGCGUAGUAAUUCUUCUCGCUAUAGGGUUCUGGUGGAUGCUUGCCAUUAACCUCUAAUUUUCUAUGGUUGACCUCGGAUCAGGUAGGGAUACCCGCUGAACUUAAGCAUAUCAAUAAGCGGGGG
rnacentral:misc_RNA from 1 species